rnacentral:rRNA from 1 species
UAGGCGUAAAUGAUGCGAGUUAAGUGUGGGGGCAUCUACGAGAUGGCCCUGUGCUGUAGGGUAGCCGUUAAACUCGCUGCCUGGGGAGUACGGUCGCAAGGCUGAAACUUAAAGGAAUUGGCGGGGGGAGCACCACAAGAGGUGGAGGCUGCGGUUCAAUUGGACUCAACGCCGGAAACUCAUCGGGAGCGACAGCAGUAUGAUUGCCAGGUUGAUGACCUUGCUUGACAAGCUGAGAGGUGGUGCAUGGCGUAGACGUCU